GGUUGCAGACAUGUAAAUGACAGGUAAAAGGAGCCAAAACCAAUUUACAGGUGCAAGAAAAUAGAAGAACAAAGGUAGAAUAUUACUCACAAUAACAAGCUACUGUGUUAUACACAAACUCUGUAGCCUCCAGCACUCAUCUUUCUAGUGUCCAUCAACAGUCUCCUGUUGCAACCCAAUCCCCCUUCUCAUACUUUAAGCAGAGUCUAGCCCUAUUCCCAACCAUUGAGGUGACACCUGGACUGCAGGUAUGUGGUCAUAAAAGUGGCAGAAGAGUGAAAUAAAGGCCCUCUUGGAGGAAAUGAAAAAAGGUUUUAA